GGGGAAUCAGGCUGCACCUAGUAGAGGGGGGAGUCUCAAGGAAUUUGUGGAUCUAUUUUUAAGCUACCAGGAAUCCGUGUGAAGCGAAGUAGGAGUCUUGGCAGGGAGAGGGGCGGACGGGGAGGGCAUGUUAUGUCAGGCAAAUGGUCUACCUCAAUUCAAGCUUCUGCGUUCUAGAUUUAAUGUGCUCAACAUCGCAGAGUAUACUUAGUCUCUGACUGCAAGUAGAUGGAUGCUACAUUGUAAGUAUUCAAGCCAGAAAGAACCUUCCAGAUCAUUGAUCCAACUUCCUCAUUUUACAGAAGGGAAAACAGGCCCACACAGGAGCAGUGACUUUCCCAGGAUAGCCAGUGAGUCAGCGGCCUCUCCCUGCCCAGAAGCCUGAUUUCCUAACUCUGGGGCAGAACUUUUCCCAGUAUUCCAUACAAGGCUAUUUGUAAUGGGGCUUUUUCCAAAAUCAGGCUGAGAUACCCUAAGAAGAGAUGAGCUCUAGAGAAGGUGAUUUCAGGGAAGAUAGAAACAAGCUGAAUUUGGGAUUCUCAGGAACUGCCAAGACGCUGAGGCCCUUCUGGCCCUGAGACAAGCUGCCCUCCUUCCAGAGAUGGCCAAGAGCGAGGCUGGCCAGAAAGAGAGGAAAUGGAAAUAAGCUCCCAGCUGCCUCACAGCCCCUCACAGCAGCCAGAGCAGUCACCGCUGCUUGCCGAUCGAGAACAUGGAGCAGAAAACUCCUGCUAUGUGGCCAGUCCUUCUCAGCAACUCAGGAACACCGGGAGCAGCUCAAGGCCAGAGCGUACAAUGAUAAAGAAAUAGACCAAGCUCUUCCCACUUCAUCCCUGCUUGUCGGACGGGUUGGGCCUGGACUGACUCCUCUCCUCAGACAGACCCCAUGGGCAGCAGUGCUGAUUUGGGGCAGUUUCCUGAAAUUGCAGCAUGGACCAAAUCACAGGCUUUGGACUGCACCACUCAUUGCCUGGAGGAACCUUCCUUCACUGGGCUAAACUUCAGCUUCCCAGCUAUGAGACGGGAUCGCCUCUCCCUUCCUCUGUGUGAUGCUGUGCGGAUUCAACAGGCUGUAAAUGUGUGAAGCACCAGCACACAUUAGACGCUCCAUACAUGCUCUAGAACUUUCUCUUACCCUGUGCAGGCAAGAUCUGCUUUCUACCAUAGUGCACUGCGCUAUCCAUACAACAAGGAUAAGAAUACGUAUUGUACUCAGUUAUGAGAAGUAAAAUAUCUAGAAAUUACUCAAUUAUUGCUAGAUGCAUCCCGAUCCAGCCCUCCCCCUUGACACCAAGUAGUUAGGCAGGAACCCACGACACAGAUCUCAUUUCCCCGUGGCUCAAACCACACUGCGCUACACCUACGUGUUACACCGGACCACGCGGGGUGAGUGAGCGCUGUGGGAGCAGGUGCCGAGGAGGAGCGGGG
rnacentral:lncRNA from 1 species